UGCACUCGCAAUAAUAAUAUUACUUGUAUUUUUCAUCCCACAAAGUACACAAAUCAUUUGGAAAAUCUCGCCCAAAAUGAAAUCGUUUUUACUUACGGUGGCAGUUUGUUGCCUGUUGUUGGUAGCCAUGACAACUGCAGCAUCAAUUGACCAAAAGACUGGUGAUGAGAUCAAAGCUAUGGAUUUGUUCGUUUCUGGCGGACCGAGUACACUGUGCAAACCGCAAUACACGCCAUGUCUUCCAUACCUGAACCAAUGCUGUGUUGGAAAAUGUACCUUUACGUAUGCCUUCGGAUGGGGAUGUUUCUCAUAAUUGGCUUUGAUAUUACCUGAACUUUUUAAAAUGUAUUAAAUAAAAAUCUUUCUGAAGCAAACUGAA